GAUGAACGCUGGCGGCGUGCCUAAUACAUGCGAGUCGAGCGAACAGAUGAGGAGCUUGCUCCUCUGACGUUAGCGGCGGACGGGUGAGUAACACGUGGAUAACCUACCUAUAAGACUGGGAUAACUUCGGGAAACCGGAGCUAAUACCGGAUAAUAUAUUGAACCGCAUGGUUCAAUAGUGAAAGACGGUUUUGCUGUCACUUAUAGAUGGAUCCGCGCCGCAUUAGCUAGUUGGUAAGGUAACGGCUUACCAAGGCAACGAUGCGUAGCCGACCUGAGAGGGUGAUCGGCCACACUGGAACUGAGACACGGUCCAGACUCCUACGGGAGGCAGCAGUAGGGAAUCUUCCGCAAUGGGCGAAAGCCUGACGGGGCAACGCCGCGUGAGUGAUGAAGGUCUUCGGAUCGUAAAACUCUGUUAUUAGGGAAGAACAAAUGUGUAAGUAACUAUGCACGUCUUGACGGUACCUAAUCAGAAAGCCACGGCUAACUACGUG
rnacentral:rRNA from 1 species